CCCCCACUUAAAAGCUAAGUCACGUGCAAAUGGCAAAAGGAGUUUAGCUAUAUUCUGCCCAAUCCUGCAAGAUAAACUUCCUCUCACAAUCAAGCACACCUGCUCUGCAUAUAAUCAAAUUCAGGGUCAUCUUCGAUUCGAGUACAUAUGGUAAUAUUGGCCCUUACUUGCACCUACAUCAAUACUUAACACCUUGAGGUGUAGAACAAGUAAUAAUUAAGUUGAUUUGCAUUACAGGCUAGACAGAAUGAGAAAAGGCAAAUUAAACUGUUAGCUAGAAUUGCCAGGUAGAAACCCAAGUAUUUUCCAGGAUUCCUUUUUCUAACCUUAGACAGUAUAUUCAGUGAGACUCCACUGACAAUAGAAAGAUCCAUUUGGCCUCAUUUGUUAAGAUGCAGAACUAAAGUCACAGAAAUACUUCUACAAGUAAAAGA